rnacentral:tRNA from 1 species
ACCUGGGUGGCUCAGUGAAUUGAGCAUCUGACUUUGACUCAGGUUAUGAUUUCGCAGUUUGUAGGUUCAAGCCCCAUCUUGGGCU